rnacentral:rRNA from 1 species
GACGAACGCUGGCGGCGUGCUUAACACAUGCAAGUCGAACGGACGGGCCCUGCUUUUGUUUUGUUCUCGAUUGGCGAGCGGGGGAGUAACACGUGAGUAACCUCCCCUUGUCUGUGUGGUAAAAUCUGGAGACUGGGGCUAUUACCGGAUAGAAGCUCCUGCUGCGUGUGGUGGGUUGGAGAGUUUCGGCGGUUGGGGCUGGACUCGCGGCUUAUCCGCUUGUUUGUGGGGUAGUUGCUUACCAAGGCUUUGACGGGUAGCCUGCCUGAGAGGGUGAACGGCCACAAUGGGACUGAGAGACGCACCAGACGCCUACGGGAGGCAGCAGUGGGGAAUAUUGCACAACGGGCGCAAGCCUGAGGCAGCAAUGCCGCGUGCGGGAUGACGGGCUUCGGGUGGUAAACCGAUGUGGACGGUGAUGAAGCGUGAGUGACGGUAAUGGGUAAAGAAGCACCGGCUAACUACGUG